ACGUGGGUAACMUGCCCAUAAGACUGGGAUAACUCCGGGAAACCGGGGCUAAUACCGGAUAACAUUUUGAACCGCAUGGUUCGAAAUUGAAAGGCGGCUUCGGCUGUCACUUAUGGAUGGACCCGCGUCGCAUUAGCUAGUUGGUGAGGUAACGGCUCACCAAGGCAACGAUGCGUAGCCGACCUGAGAGGGUGAUCGGCCACACUGGGACUGAGACACGGCCCAGACUCCUACGGGAGGCAGCAGUAGGGAAUCUUCCGCAAUGGACGAAAGUCUGACGGAGCAACGCCGCGUGAGUGAUGAAGGCUUUCGGGUCGUAAAACUCUGUUGUUAGGGAAGAACAAGUGCUAGUUGAAUAAGCUGGCACCUUGACGGUACCUAACCAGAAAGCCACGGCUAACUACGUGCCAGCAGCCGCGGUAAUACGUAGGUGGCAAGCGUUAUCCGGAAUUAUUGGGCGUAAAGCGCGCGCAGGUGGUUUCUUAAGUCUGAUGUGAAAGCCCACGGCUCAACCGUGGAGGGUCAUUGGAAACUGGGAGACUUGAGUGCAGAAGAGGAAAGUGGAAUUCCAUGUGUAGCGGUGAAAUGCGUAGAGAUAUGGAGGAACACCAKUGGCGAAGGCGACUYUCUGGUCUGUAACUGACACUGAGGCGCGA
rnacentral:rRNA from 1 species